rnacentral:ncRNA from 1 species
AAAAAGUUUAACUCUGGCUUAGGUUAUAGAUUGGGUAGGUUUUUCAUGAUAGUUUUUGUGUGCUUAUAAUAUUUGAGUUUUUUGAUAGAUAAAUUUUUAAUAUUAUUUACAAUAGAAAUAUUUAUGUGGGCUAUCCUUGUAUAAGUGAAGAGAGUGCCAGCAACUGCGGUUAGACUCUAUAUUGUGUAUUUGUGUUAAGAGUAUAUUUAUUUUUGGUUUGUUUAGUUUAAUUUGGGUGAAAUUAAUUUUUCUUUAUUUGUUCUUUUUGAAAUAAGUAAAAUCUUUAAAACUAGGAUUAGAGACCCUAUUAUUCUUCUUUUGCUUAAAUUAUUAAAUUGAAAAUUAAUUCGUUUGGCGGCUAAUAUUUCUAGAGGAAUUUGCUUUUUAAACGAUAUACCCCGUUUAAUCUUUCUUUCCUUCUGCUUGUAUAUCAUUAUUAAAUUUUUGUUUUAAGACUAUAAAUUUAUAUUAUUAACAAAUUUUAGAUCAAGAUGCAGCUAUUGAAAAGUUAAAGUUAAUUACAAUAAGAAUUUAUUGAAAUAUUUUAAUUUUUAAUUAAUUAAAAAGAGUGGAUUUAGCCGUAAUUUUUGUUUAUAAAGAUGAAUUUAUUGUGUUAGUGUACAAAUUGCCCGUCAUUCUCUAUGAGACAAGUCGAAACAAAGUAAGCUCACCUGAAGGUGAGCUUAAAAACAA